rnacentral:misc_RNA from 1 species
AGCAGCUUCCUUCAGAAAAAUUGUACACAGUACCAAAACCCGAAGGCAAGCUUCACGGAUCAUGGGUAGCUCCAUCCUAAGCAUCUCACAGUCUUUUAUCGGAUCAAGAUUUUCAAUAUACUUGAGCUCAUCAUCUGAAAAUGGAAUUGAUGCUUGUGGCCAAUGAAUCCACUCGAAGUACGGAUCCUCUAAAGUCUCUGGCAAACAAAGACCGUGAUCUAUAGGAAUAAGCUCUACUUGUCCAAACCUUCCUAUUCCAUCAAGUUUCCGAACUAAGAGAUUCCCAGCAUGCCUAU